rnacentral:piRNA from 1 species
UCCAAAGUUGGUCCAGGAUGUCUGGAGGC